AAGAAUGGUGGUGGUGAUAUGAAGAACUAAAGGUACGAAUCCCUCAGAUUAUGAAGCGCGAUUGAUGAUUCUUCUGUACUCUGAUUUUCUGAUUUUUUGCAGAAUUCUUGAAUCGGUAGCGAUGAUGAUGAAGAUUGGAGAUGAAGGAGAUUGUUGUAUGAUUGUGUGUGUCAAGAGAGUGAAGAGAAGGAGAUGGUCUGAAGCAGAGAAAUGGUGGAGAAUGGUGAAUUGAAGAUGGUUAUGGAAGUGAAGGGAGAGUGAAAGUGAAGAGGAUAAAAAUGGUGGAGAGACUGAAUUGUGGAGGGAAGCACGGUUUAAAUAGAUUGAGAAGGGAAUACAUGGGCCGUUAGAUCUUAGAGAUUCUGUUAGGAAUUGAAGGAUGCAGGCUAGAAAUUGUGGCUGGCUGCAAAUGAAAUUGAAGCAUGGCUUGGCAAUGUAUUAUAUGUGAAGACAAGAUGACCAUGGAAGCAAGAUGAUGAAGACGGAAUCGUGGUGGUGGCAGCCUUUUGGUUCGGACCGGUUUAUGCUUCUUGUUUGCAGGAUGGCUCCAUGUCUCAGUUUAUUUGCAGGAGCCUUUUUGUUGUAAUUUUUCUUGUAAUGUACACUUGGAUUUGGAUUUGUAAUGGAUAGAAGCUUGAAUAUUAAAUAAUGGGCUUUGAAAUCAU